AUUGAACGCUGGCGGCAUGCUUUACACAUGCAAGUCGAACGGUAACAGGCCGCAAGGUGCUGACGAGUGGCGCACGGGUGAGUAAUGCAUCGGAACGUGACCAGUCGUGGGGGAUAACUAUUAGAAAGAGUAGCUAAUACCGCAUACGAUCUAUGGAUGAAAGCGGGGGACCGAAAGGUCUAGCGCGGUUGGAGCGGCCGAUGUCAGAUUAGGUAGUUGGUGGGGUAAAGGCUCACCAAGCCAACGAUAUGUAGCUGGUCUGAGAGGACAAACAGCCACACUGGAACUGAGACACGGCCCAGACUCCUACGGGAGGCAGCAGUGGGGAAUUUUGGACAAUGGGCGCAAGCCUGAUCCAGCAAUGCCGCGUGCAGGAAGAAGGCCUUCGGGUUGUAAACUUCUUUUGUACGGAACGAAACGGCGCUGGUUAAUACCCGGGGCUAAUGACGGUACCGUAAGAAUAAGCACCGGCUAACUACGUG
rnacentral:rRNA from 1 species